GAUGAACGCUGGCGGCGUGCCUAAUACAUGCAAGUCGAGCGAACGGACGAGAAGCUUGCUUCUAUGAUGUUAGCGGCGGACGGGUGAGUAACACGUGGACAACCUACCUAUAAGACUGGGAUAACUUCGGGAAACCGGAGCUAAUACCGGAUAAUAUUUUGAACCGCAUGGUUCAAAGGUGAAAGACGGUCUUGCUGUCACUUAUAGCUGGAUCCGCCCUGCAUUAGUUAGUUGGUAAGGUAACGGCUUACCAAGGCAACGAUGCAUAGCCGACCGGAGGGGGUGAUCGGCCACACGGGAACGGAGCCCCGGUCCAACCUCCUACGGGAGGCAGCAGUAGGGAAUCUUCCGCAAUGGGCGAAGGCCGGACGGAGCAACGCGGCGGAAGUGAUGAAGGUCUUCGGAUCGUAAAACUCUGUUAUUAGGGAGGAACAUAUGUGUAAGUAACUGUGCACAUCUUGACGGUACCUAAUCAGAAAGCCACGGCUAACUACGUG
rnacentral:rRNA from 1 species